UUCGGUCCCCGGUAGAGCGGCGAACGGGUGAGUAACACGUGGGUAACCUGUCUGAGAGUGGGGGAUAACCUGGGGAAACUCGGGCUAAUACCGCAUACGUCCACCGGGCUUCGGCUCGGUGAGGAAAGGUGGCCUCUGCUUGCAAGCCACCACUCACAGAGGGGCCCGCGUCUGAUUAGCUAGUUGGCGGGGUAACGGCCCACCAAGGCGACGAUCAGUAGCCGGCCUGAGAGGGCGAUCGGCCACACUGGAACUGAGACACGGUCCAGACUCCUACGGGAGGCAGCAGUGAGGAAUCUUGCGCAAUGGGGGAAACCCUGACGCAGCAACGCCGCGUGGAGGAUGAAGGCCUUCGGGUCGUAAACUCCUGUCAGAUGGGACGAAGGCUUGCGGGCGAAUAGUCCGUAAGCUUGACGGUACCAUCAGAGGAAGCCCCGGCUAACUCUGUGCCAGCAGCCGCGGUAAUACAGAGGGGGCGAGCGUUAUUCGGAAUUAUUGGGCGUAAAGGGCGCGUAGGCGGCUUGACAAGUCCAAGGUGAAAUCCCUCGGCUCAACCGAGGAACUGCCUUGGAAACUGUCUGGCUUGAGGCCGGGAGAGGGUAGUGGAAUUCCCAGUGUAGCGGUGAAAUGCGUAGAUAUUGGGAGGAACACCGGUGGCGAAGGCGGCUACCUGGACCGGAUCUGA
rnacentral:rRNA from 1 species